AUUGAACGCUGGCGGCAGGCUUAACACAUGCAAGUCGAGCGGAGAUGAGGUGCUUGCACCUUAUCUUAGCGGCGGACGGGUGAGUAAUGCUUAGGAAUCUGCCUAUUAGUGGGGGACAACAUUCCGAAAGGAAUGCUAAUACCGCAUACGUCCUACGGGAGAAAGCAGGGGAUCUUCGGACCUUGCGCUAAUAGAUGAGCCUAAGUCGGAUUAGCUAGUUGGUGGGGUAAAGGCCUACCAAGGCGACGAUCUGUAGCGGGUCUGAGAGGAGGAUCCGCCACACUGGGACUGAGACACGGCCCAGACUCCUACGGGAGGUAGCAGCGGGGAAUAUUGGACAAUGGGGGGAACCCUGAUCCAGCCAUGCCGCGUGUGUGAAGAAGGCCUUAUGGUUGUAAAGCACUUUAAGCGAGGAGGAGGCUACUGAGACUAAUACUCUUGGAUAGUGGACGUUACUCGCAGAAUAAGCACCGGCUAACUCUGUGCCAGCCGCCGCCGUAAAAC
rnacentral:rRNA from 1 species